UAUAUAAGACAUCAUUCAUGAGAAAUGUUUCAGUUGAGGAUCAGGAUCCAGAACACAGUGUUUUCUCAGAGGAGUUUAAGAAAGAAGCUUCACUCAGAUACUCAUUUGCUGCUUCAUCUGUGUGUUUGCGGUGCUAAUAAACAAAGUGUUUCUGCAGGUCACAGUAAAAGGUGUUAUUGGUGGUUCUGUUGUCCUGCCGUGUUCUUCCACUGAACAUGAUCUUAAAUUUCAAGACAUUAAUGUGUUUUGGAGACACAAUGGUAGCAAGAUUGUGUAUGAUAUAAUUCCCAGCAGUCAUUCACUAGAGAAACAUGAUCCAGAGUAUAAAAACAGAAUUGAAACUUUUCCAGAGGAGUAUGAGAGAGGAAACUUCUCCAUCAAACUCACAGAUCUCACUCACUCUGAUGCUGGAAAAUACAUCUGCUACAUCUCACACUCAUCUGAACAACCUACUGUACAGCUGAUCAUCAACGAAUCAACAGCAGAAAAAGGAAGCAUAUCAACUGAACAAGAACAACAAGGAGAAACAGAACCUGAUAGUGUGGAAACAUCAUCGCCUUUGCUCUGGGUUGGCAUUGCAUCUGUAGUUAUAGUUAUAGGUUUCAUUGUAGCUUGGCGGAUAAGAAGGAACUCAAGCAGACGUAGGGCAGACGGACACAACAUGGGUUCAGAGUCAGACGCUCAUGAGGUU